rnacentral:rRNA from 1 species
AUUGAACGCUGGCGGAAUGCUUUCCACAUGCAAGUCGAACGGCAGCACGGGGGCAACCCUGGUGGCGAGUGGCGAACGGGUGAGUAAUACAUCGGAACGUGCCCAGUCGUGGGGGAUAACGUAGCGAAAGCUACGCUAAUACCGCAUACGAUCUAUGGAUGAAAGCGGGGGACCGUAAGGCCUUGCGCGAUUGGAGCGGCCGAUGGCAGAUUAGGUAGUUGGUGGGGUAAAGGCUCACCAAGCCUGCGAUCUGUAGCUGGUCUGAGAGGACGACCAGCCACACUGGGACUGAGACACGGCCCAGACUCCUACGGGAGGCAGCAGUGGGGAAUUUUGGACAAUGGGCGCAAGCCUGAUCCAGCCAUUCCGCGUGCAGGAUGAAGGCCCUCGGGUUGUAAACUGCUUUUGUACGGAACGAAACGGUGCUUUCUAAUACAGAGCACUAAUGGCGGUACCGUAAGAAUAAGCACCGGCUAACUACGUGCCAGCAGCCGCCGUAACAC